rnacentral:lncRNA from 1 species
AUACCACCUAGGGAUACGGGUAGGACGAUCAAUUGUUUUUCACUUCUGCUCUAUAAUGCUUUAUUAAUUUCUAGGGGAGGCUAGGGAUAACAAGCCAGUAAUUAGUAAUAGGCUCUUUUCACCGAGGGAUCGGGUUAAGGGUAGGCUAAGAAAGUUGCAUGACAAUUAAUUAAUCAAGCUAAUAAAUCAAGAGGAGUAAAUAAGAGAGAGCGGAUAAGAUGAAAUUGUAAACCCCCAA